rnacentral:rRNA from 1 species
ACGGGUGAGUAACACGUGGGUAACCUGCCCAUCAGAAGGGGAUAACACUUGGAAACAGGUGCUAAUACCGUAUAACAAUCGAAACCGCAUGGUUUCGUUUUGAAAGGCGCUUUACGGUGCCGCUGAUGGAUGGACCCGCGGUGCAUUAGCUAGUUGGUGAGGUAACGGCUCACCAAGGCCACGAUGCAUAGCCGACCUGAGAGGGUGAUCGGCCACAUUGGGACUGAGACACGGCCCAAACUCCUACGGGAGGCAGCAGUAGGGAAUCUUCGGCAAUGGACGAAAGUCUGACCGAGCAACGCCGCGUGAGUGAAGAAGGUUUUCGGAUCGUAAAACUCUGUUGUUAGAGAAGAACAAGGGUGAGAGUAACUGUUCACCCCUUGACGGUAUCUAACCAGAAAGCCACGGCUAACUACGUGCCAGCAGCCGCGGUAAUACGUAGGUGGCAAGCGUUGUCCGGAUUUAUUGGGCGUAAAGCGAGCGCAGGCGGUUUCUUAAGUCUGAUGUGAAAGCCCCCGGCUCAACCGGGGAGGGUCAUUGGAAACUGGGAGACUUGAGUGCAGAAGAGGAGAGU